GCUCAUUCCUGAACAUAUACUAAAAUUGGAAGAAUACAGAGAAGAUUAGCAUGGGUAGUGCACAAGGAUGACACGUGUAUGGUAUUUUUAAAUUUU
rnacentral:snRNA from 1 species